rnacentral:Y_RNA from 1 species
GGCUGGUCUGAGUGCAGUGGUGUUUACAACUAAUGAUUACAGUCAGUUACAGAUGUCUUUGUUUCUUCUCCACUCCCACUGCUAAUACUGAUUAGCCUUAA